CAGAAGCUCAUAUAUCCUUCUUCAUUCAAAGACCCACGCCGUAAGCCCUAACUCCUCCUUCUUCAAACAUUAAGCCCUAACUCUGACGACACUCGACGGCGACGAACGACUCCUGCGACAACAACACUCCGACGAAGAACUACUUCGACAACACUCUGUGAAGAACAUAGCUGUGCUCGCAAUGCCUCCGCCGGCAAUCCCUCUUUCGGCACCCCUAACCCCUUCGGCGCCACUCCCUUCCUGCUUAGCUUUGGAAGAAACUAGAAUCUCCAGGCAUUCAUUGAUCUUAGCUUCUUGCUUCUUUGUUUGUGCCUCCUCUUACAUCACAGAAACAUAUUGUUUCUGAUAAGAAAACAAAACAAAACAAAACAAAACCAAAAAAAGAAAGAAAGAAGACCAUAUAGAUUAUGACAGUAAUAGUUGGAUUUGGGAGGGGGUAUACAACCACCCACAUGUGUUGGGUGGUCUAAUGGUUACAGCAGCCUUGCUGGGACUGUCGACGAGCUAGUUUGGGGGGAUGACCAACCCCUGGUCUAAUUUGGGGAUUUUCACUAAGAAGAGAUCCGGUAAGAGGUGUGUUCGGGUUUACAUGGAUGGUUGUUUUGAUCUGAUGCACUAUGGCCAUGCCAAUGCACUCAGACAGGCAAAAGCUCUAGGAGAUGAAUUGGUUGCGGGUCUGGGGAGUGAUGAGGAGAUCCUCGCCAAUAAAGGCCCAUCUGUUUUGUCCAUGGAGGAGAGGAACUAAUAUUUGGUCCUUUUCUAUUUUGCUCCUAGUGAUUUUCUCUUAGACAAAAUCUAAUUCAGCUUAAACAUAAGACUAGAGACUUUGUAGCAAGGGAAUAAACUUGUUUGUUUGAAUAACUCAAAUGUGCCAACAUUGUAAAAGAAUUAAUGUUGAGAAUGUAUUUUGUCUUCCACGCUGACCCUUGUCAGUGGAUUGAAAUGGGUGGACGAAGUCAUAACCGAUGCUCCUUAUGCAAUUACUGAGGAAUUCUUGAAUCAUCUUUUCUAUGAAUACAACAUUGACUAUGUCAUACCUGGGGAUGACCCUUGUCUGCUUCCAGAUGGAACAGAUGCUUAUGCUGCAGCAAAGAAAGCUGGCCGAUACAAGCAAAUUAAACGUACUGAAGGAGUUUCCAACAUAGAUAUUGUUGGAAGAAUUAUGUCUUUGUUAAAAGAUCAAAAAGCUUGCGAAGAUCUUAAUGAUACUGAUGCAAAACCUCAAGAAGAAAGCAAGCCAAAGGGCCUGGACCUGAUGCUCGUAUUGUAUACAUUGAUGGGGCAUUUGAUCUCUUCCAUGCUGGGCACGUUGAGAUACUUAAGAAGGCUAGGCAGCUCGGAGAUUUUCUUCUUGUUGGUAUCCACUCAGACGAGACUGUGAGGUUUUCUUUUUCUUUGGAGAGAGGAGAGAGAGGAGAGGAGAGGAGAUGAGAUGAGAGGUUAUUCAGACUAGAAUUGAAUAUCCCUUCUUAUUUCUUUCUUUUUCAUUUGCUGGGACUUCUUAGUUCUACAUUUGCUAAAAAAGCACACUGCUUUGCAGCUCUCUAAAUUAUUUCAAGAUUUUUUCCAUUUUCUUCUCGUAAAGUUUCUUAUUUGGAAACCACCUUUACUACUUAAAAACUAACAUGUGAACUUAUGAAUUGAGCUAUGAAUAUGAAAUUAUAUAUUAUUUUUUGUGGAGGGGGAAGCGGGCCGGGAGAGGGGGUUUCAUAAGAUUAUUUAUGCAAAUGAACAUUGAAUGGACCCAUGAAUGAACGUGGUUAGAUAGUUGUUUUUGGUCCCCUUAUUGUAUAAAGUACUUAAGUAUUUUUAAUUGAAAUAGAGAGCUUUUGAUUGUCCAUAAUUUAUCAUGGGCUGCAUUCAGGCCUAAAGGGUCAUCAUGGCUUUAAAAUAAUAGAAAUUCUUUUCAUUUUUAUCACCUCCUGCGGUUACGUACUGGCCAAGAAAAGUGCUUCUAAUGUAAGUCUCAUGACCACUUUGGACUAAAAUUCCAUUUGUGGUGAAGUGUGUAAUGUAACAGUUGUCUAUGUUAGUUCUGAGUGAGUUAAUUACUGAAAUGCCCCCACCUCUGAAGUUUGAGUCUAAUAAGAGGUCCUUGAAGCUUAUGUACUCAAAAUUGUAGGGAGGAGAACGGGAACUCUCUGAGUUAGCUCCAUUGUUCUCAUUAUUAUUAUUAUUAUCAUUAGAAGAAGAAGAAGAAGAAGAAGAAGAGGUUGGUGAGAAAUCGAUGAGUGUCGACCUUCGGAGCUGUUCUGGACAUGGUUACAGACAGGUUAUCUCUAUCUCUUUCUGUUUCUGCAAGCCAAAGAAUGCGUUGUUAAACUUAUAGUUCUUUACAUUGUUUGAUUUUUGUGUUCUUUGAAUUAAUGUGGCUUUCUUAAUAUCAGAAUUAGCACUGCUUGUCUACUUGUUAUUCUUUCCCAAGUUUACAAGUAACAUUUUUUUCCUUUUUAAUUGUUCAUAAUUUGCUGUCAUUUAAGCAUGGGCAUGUAAACCUGGCUUUUGUGCUGAAUUUGUGUAAAGGCCUGGCUUAAUCUUCUUGUCCCUUGCUAGCAUUAGAUAUUGCUAGCCAGUGGCUGUAAAUGUACAGACACAAUUUUUGAUUCUCAGGCGCAUACAGCUCACCAUCUUCUUCAGGCUAAGAGAGGUAUAAUGUUGCUAUGUAUGUGCUCAUGCAUACAAAGAAAGUAGGACUUCUUUGGAAGCAGAGUUUACACGAACUUUGCCGAAAGAACUCAUGUAGAAGUGUCAGGGCAUUAUUUUGGAGAACAAAUUCUGGUCACUACAUUGUUUGGUUCCCACUAUCACAAUGGGCUAAUGACUUUGGUCAACUAGGUGAUAGAACCGAGGAGUGAAGGAAAUAUGUAAAGAAAGUAAAGCCAUUAGGGUCAGAGUUUGUAAAAUCUGUCUUGUAUAAUUCUUAAUUCUCAUUGAAAUUCAUUUUUGUUAAUGCUUGUAAAUUUUAUGUACGCGGCUAUUGCAUGUAUGCAGAUGACAUUGUUGUAGGCUUUUACCAAGUAUUGAAUGAAGGAACAUAAAUUUGAGUAUUCC